GCCGGGCGUUGUGGCGGGCGCCUGUGGUCCCAGCUACUUGGGAGGUGGAGGCAGGAGACUCGCUUGAGCCCAGGAGUUGGAGGUUGCUGUGAGCUGUAAUGCCAUGGCACUCUACCCAGGGGGACAGCUUGAGGCUCUGUCUCAAAAAAAAAAAAAAGAGUUUCAAGAUUCUUAAAAUAAAGAGUACUGAGAUAUCAUCUAUUUUUUUUUUUGAGACAGAGCCUCAAGCUAUCCCCCUGGGUAGAGUAUUGUGGCAUCACAGCUCACAGCAACCUCCAACUCUUGGG
rnacentral:sRNA from 1 species